UACGUAGGGGGCUAGCGUUAUCCGGAUUUACUGGGCGUAAAGGGUGCGUAGGCGGUCUUUCAAGUCAGGAGUGAAAGGCUACGGCUCAACCGUAGUAAGCUCUUGAAACUGUAAGACUUGAGUGCAGGAGAGGAGAGUGGAAUUCCUAGUGUAGCGGUGAAAUGCGUAGAUAUUAGGAGGAACACCGGUGGCGAAGGCGACUUUCUGGACGAUAACUGACGCUGAGGCGCGAAAGCGUGGGUAGCAAACAGGAUUAGAUACCCCCGUAGUCCCUGAGCGGG
rnacentral:rRNA from 1 species